rnacentral:misc_RNA from 1 species
GUUCCCUAUAUAUGUCAGUGUGGUGAAGCUUCUAAAUAGGCUAAGAAGGGAUUUUCUGUAGAAAGGCAACAAGAAAGGGGAGGAUUCAAUCUAGUGAAGUGGGAAGUGGCAGAAUUGAGCGAACUUAUAGGGUGGGCUUGGUAUCAGAAAUUUGAGGAUUCAAAACAAUAGCCUUCCGAUAAAGUGGUUAUGUAGAUUCAGUGAACAAGAAUCAACCAUGUAGAAGGAGGUCAUCACUCACAAGG